AAUAUGGGACAAUGGGGGCAACCCUGAUCCAGCCAUGCCGCGUGUGUGAAGAAGGUCUUCGGAUUGUAAAGCACUUUAAGUUGGGAGGAAGGGCCCCAGGCUAAUACCCUGAAGUUUUCACGUUACCAACAGAAUAAGCACCGGCUAACCCUCUGCCAGCAGCCGCGGUAAUACAGAGGGUGCAAGCGGUAAUCGGAAUUACCGGGCGUAAGGCGCGCGUAGGUGGUUCAGUAAGAUGGGUGUGAAAUCCCCGGGCUUAACCUGGGAACUGCUUUCAUAACUGCUGGGCUAGAGUACGGUAGAGGGUAGUGGAAUUUCCUGUGUAGCGGUGAAAUGCGUAGAUAUAGGAAGGAACACCAGUGGCGAAGGCGACUACCUGGACUGAUACUGACACUGAGGUGCGAAAGCGUGGGGAGCAAAC
rnacentral:rRNA from 1 species